rnacentral:rRNA from 1 species
UACGUAGGGGGCAAGCGUUGUCCGGAUUUAUUGGGCGUAAAGCGCGUGUAGGCGGCCAGGUAGGUCUGGUGUGAAAACUCGAGGCUCAACCUCGAGAGGUCAUCGGAAACCAUCUGGCUAGAGUCCGGAAGAGGAGAGUGGAAUUCCCGGUGUAGCGGUGAAAUGCGCAGAUAUCAGGAAGAACACCUAUGGCGAAGGCAGCACUCUGGGACGGUACUGACGCUGAGACGCGAAAGCGUGGGGAGCGAACAGG